rnacentral:sRNA from 1 species
UCACAAAACCAGAAGUACUUCGUCUCGU